GAUGAAGAACGUAGCGAAAUGCGAUAAGUAAUGUGAAUUGCAGAAUUCAGUGAAUCAUCGAAUCUUUGAACGCACCUUGCGCCUUUUGGUAUUCCGAAAGGCACACCUGUUUGAGCGUCAUGAAUACCUCAAUCUCCAUCUUUUCUUCGGAUUGAUGGGUGACUUGGAUGUUGAGCCCUGCUGGUAUGCCAUAUCAGCUGGCUUUAAACUUAUUAGCCGGCUCUGUACUGGAUCGGUUUGACUCGACGUGAUAAUAUUAUCGUUGAGGAUGCAUGUCUCAUGCAGCCGGAAAGUAUCAAAGCAGCUUCUAGCUUGCCUUUAGUGCACUUUUACAUUUUAGACCUCAGAUCAGGUGGGACUACCCGCUGAACUUAAGCAUAUCAAUAAGCGGAGGA
rnacentral:misc_RNA from 1 species